rnacentral:rRNA from 1 species
AUUGAACGCUGGCGGCAGGCCUAACACAUGCAAGUCGAACGGUAACAGGAAGCAGCUUGCUGCUUCGCUGACGAGUGGCGGACGGGUGAGUAAUGUCUGGGAAACUGCCUGAUGGAGGGGGAUAACUACUGGAAACGGUAGCUAAUACGGCAUAACGUCGCAAGACCAAAGAGGGGGACCUUAGGGCCUCUUGCCAUCGGAUGUGCCCAGAUGGGAUUAGCUAGUAGGUGGGGUAACGGCUCACCUAGGCGACGAUCCCUAGCUGGUCUGAGAGGAUGACCAGCCACACUGGAACUGAGACACGGUCCAGACUCCUACGGGAGGCAGCAGUGGGGAAUAUUGCACAAUGGGCGCAAGCCUGAUGCAGCCAUGCCGCGUGUAUGAAGAAGGCCUUCGGGUUGUAAAGUACUUUCAGCGGGGAGGAAGGGAGUAAAGUUAAUACCUUUGCUCAUUGACGUUACCCGCAGAAGAAGCACCGGCUAACUCCGUG